UGUUAUCCCUUCAUCACAAUUCCCAG
rnacentral:piRNA from 1 species